AGUGAACGCUGGCGGUAGGCCUAACGCAUGCAAGUCGAACGGCAGCACAGUAAGAGCUUGCUCUUACGGGUGGCGAGUGGCGGACGGGUGAGGAAUACAUCGGAAUCUACUUUUUCGUGGGGGAUAACGUAGGGAAACUUACGCUAAUACCGCAUACGACCUACGGGUGAAAGCAGGGGAUCUUCGGACCUUGCGCGAUUGAAUGAGCCGAUGUCGGAUUAGCUAGUUGGCGGGGUAAAGGCCCACCAAGGCGACGAUCCGUAGCUGGUCUGAGAGGAUGAUCAGCCACACUGGAACUGAGACACGGUCCAGACUCCUACGGGAGGCAGCAGUGGGGAAUAUUGGACAAUGGGCGCAAGCCUGAUCCAGCCAGACCGCGUGGGUGAAGAAGGCCUUCGGGUUGUAAAGCCCUUUUGUUGGGAAAGAAAAGCAGCAGGUUAAUACCCCGCUGUUCUGACGGUACCCAAAGAAUAAGCACCGGCUAACUUCGUG
rnacentral:rRNA from 1 species